rnacentral:rRNA from 1 species
GGGGAAUUUUCCGCAAUGGGCGAAAGCCUGACGGAGCAAGACCGCGUGAGGGAGGAAGGCUCUUGGGUUGUAAACCUCUUUUGUCAGGGAAGAACACAAUGACGGUACCUGACGAAUCAGCAUCGGCUAACUCCGUGCCAGCAGCCGCGGUAAUACGGAGGAUGCAAGCGUUAUCCGGAAUUAUUGGGCGUAAAGCGUCCGCAGGUGGCUUAUCAAGUCUGCGGUCAAAGACCGGGGCUUAACCCUGGAAAGGCCGUGGAAACUGAUAAAGCUAGAGUACCGUAGGGGUAGAGGGAAUUCCCGGUGUAGCGGUGAAAUGCGUAGAGAUCGGGAAGAACAUCGGUGGCGAAAGCGCUCUACUGACGGUGACUGACACUCAGGGACGAAAGCUAGGGGAGCGAAUGGGAUUAGAUACCCCAGUAGUCCUAGCCGUAAACGAUGGAUACUAGGUGUGGCUUGUAUCGACCCGAGCCGUGCCGUAGCUAACGCGUUAAGUAUCCCGCCUGGGGAGUACGCACGCAAGUGUGAAACUCAAAGGAAUUGACGGGGGCCCGCACAAGCGGUGGAGUAUGUGGUUUAAUUCGAUGCAACGCGAAGAACCUUACCAGGGCUUGACAUGUCCGGAAUCCUACUGAAAGGUGGGAGUGCCUUCGGGAGCCGGAACACAGGUGGUGCGUGGCUGUCGUCAGCUCGUGUCGUGAGAUGUUGGGUUAAGUCCCGCAACGAGCGCAACCCUCGUUUUUAGUUGCCAUCAUUAAGUUGGGCACUCUAGAGAGACUGCCGGUGACAAACCGGAGGAAGGUGGGGAUGACGUCAAGUCAGCAUGCCCCUUACGUCCUGGGCAACACACGUACUACAAUGCUACGGACAAAGGGCAGCCAACUCGCGAGAGAGAGCUAAUCCCAUAAACCGUGGCUCAGCUCAGAUCGCAGGCUGCAACUCGCCUGCGUGAAGGAGGAAUCGCUAGUAAUUGCAGGUCAGCAUACUGCAGUGAAUUCGUUCCCGGGCCUUGUACACACCGCCCGUCACACCAUGGAAGCUGGCCACGCCCGAAGUCGUUACCCUAACCUGUUAAAGGAGGGGGAUGCCGAAGGCAGGGCUGGUGACUGGGGUGAAGUCGUAACAAGGUAGCCGUACCGGAAGGUGUGGCUGGAUCACCUCCU